rnacentral:lncRNA from 1 species
AUUUAACAUUGACAUUUCACAAAUAUUGCUGUAAAUCUGGUCAAAAUUAACAUUAAAAAGAAAAAAAUCACAUGUUUUUAAAAGUGUUUUGCUACUAAAUGUUGCAAAAAGUUGCUGUUUGUUUUAGAUUUUAGCACGCGCAACUUUACAAUCAACACUACCUCAACACCUUCCAGUUUCUCCACAAGCUUUUAGAUAAAGCUCUAUCGUGCUGGUGGUCCUUUUGGUUCGAGUCUUUUCUCCACGUGUUUGUGUUGUGCACGUGGAAACCUUCCCAUUGUUGGCCACAUGUGGCGCUGUUGCAGUGUUUGGACUCCUCAGGUGAAGAAUAGCUUAGUGUAGUUAAGUUGUUCAUCAGUGAAGUUGUUUCAGUUCUAACUCAACACUGACCACCAUGACGUCCACCUCAAAUAAUGGAGAACCUGUAACAUCCUCCUCAGGUGUUUCUGCACGUGAAGUGGACAGAACACCGCGUCGAUGUGACGGAGCUUUCUCAAUGUUUCCUCCCAACCAGAGACGGAGGAACGAGAUGAUGUCGGUGGCUCAAAAGGAAGAGGAGCUUCUUCAGAAGCACAAGGAAAACAACAAAGUCUCAGCUGUCCACACACACCCUGAACAACUCGGAGGAUAUGCAUCACUGCCUGAAGUCAGAGCCCAGCAGGCUAUGGCUUUAAAAUGCUCCAAAUUCGAGAAAAAGGUAAAUACAUCACACACACUCAUACGCGCACACACACACACACACAAAACCUUGAGACACAAACUAGAGUACACCUCUCAGCCACACGAUGCAAACACGAAACAUCCAUUCAAACUAGAAACAGACCAGAAACAGAGAAAACACACACUGAAGACAGACGAGAUACACACAUGAGGACACAGACAGGCAGGGAGACACUCACAGCCAAAUACAGUGGGGCAAAAAAGUGUUUAGUCAGCCACCAAUUGUGCAAGUACUCCCACUUAAUUUUCAUCAUAGGUAUACCUCAACUAUGAGAGACAAAAUGAGAAAAAAAAAAUCCAGAAAAUCACAUUGUAGAAUUUUUUAUGUAUUUAUUUGCAAAUUAUGGUGGAAAAUAAGUAUUUGGUCAAUAACAAAAGUUCAGAUACAUAUAUAUAUUUACUGUAUAUAUAUAUAUAUAUAUUUAUUUUUUUAUUUUUUUUGAAUGAAAACACCACACAAUC